CCUACGGGGGGCAGCAGUGGGGAAUAUUGCGCAAUGGGCGAAAGCCUGACGCAGCGACGCCGCGUGAGGGAUGAAGGUUUUCGGAUCGUAAACCUCUGUCAGAAGGGAAGAAACUACAUUGUGCUAAUCAGCAGUGUACUGACGGUACCUUCAAAGGAAGCACCGGCUAACUCCGUGCCAGCAGCCGCGGUAAUACGGAGGGUGCAAGCGUUAAUCGGAAUUACUGGGCGUAAAGCGCACGUAGGCUGUAGUGUAAGUCAGGGGUGAAAUCCCACGGCUCAACCGUGGAACUGCCUUUGAUACUGCACAACUUGAAUCCGGGAGAGGGUGGCGGAAUUCCAGGUGUAGGAGUGAAAUCCGUAGAUAUCUGGAGGAACAUCAGUGGCGAAGGCGGCUUUCUGGCUCACAACUGACGCUCAGGCGCGAAAGCUGGGGGAGCAAACAGGAUUAGAUACCCCAGUAGUC
rnacentral:rRNA from 1 species